AAGUCGUAACAAGGUUUCCGUAGGUGAACCUGCGGAAGGAUCAUUAACACGUAUCCAAACGUUAAAGCCCGGAGGUUUGCCAAAGGGUCCCCAUGCCCCCUAAUAGCUCCACAGUUUAAUGUGGGUAAAAAAACCGAACAACUGUUAACAAUGGAUAUCUUGGUUC
rnacentral:misc_RNA from 1 species